AAACACCUGCAAGGGAGGGCCUCUGAGGGGAUCACCUGCACAGAAGCCCCAACCUCACAGGAGGACUCGGGCUCAGACUGGGUUCCUCAACCCUAUGCCCCAGGCCACCAUGUGUUGCUGCUGGAGACCCACUGUCAUGCCCUCUUCCUCCAGAAAUUUUCCUCCCUGACUUUCCUUGACGAUGCGACCAGCGAGAGCUGAGUGGGGCUGUACAAGGAGCUGGGAGGAAAAGUGGCAAUGUGAGGGGCUCUUAAGGACACAUCCAGGCCCCUAGACCCCAAGCCCACCUGAUGUUCACGGUAGGGGUAGGGCUUCAAGGAGGGCAUGGCCGGUGUGGAUAGAACCCCUCAGAGUAUCUUAUACUUCAACCUAACCUGCAGGAAGUUUCUUCAAGGGAUCUUCAAACUUCUGGCCUGGACUCUGCCAGAACCCCAGCCCCUACACACAUAGUGGCCCCGGGAGCCAGGGGCCUCCUUUGCCUUCAGCAACAUUUCCAAUGCCCUUGGGUGUCAUUUCUGAACUUCUUGCCCUUGCCCAUCGUUAACUGUUAUAUCGCCUCAGAAAAUAAACCCCACUGAUCCCCUUCACAGGGAGAUUAGAGGCCUGAAGCUAGGCCCUCACUUAACCUCCUGCAGCUCCUACUGGAAUCUAUAUCUGCCUUCCCCUUUAGCUCUGGUCCUGUGCCCAGCUUCUCUAUCCCUCUCCAGUCACUUCCCUCUUUCCUGUAUCUUCCACCCUCCCCCUGACAGCUCCCAGAGGCUCGGGUCUCUUCCUUCCUGCCAUGGACCCCUGGACACCCCCUCCCUGUGUGAUCCAGGGUCUAGGAAAGACACACUGGCUGGCUCCUUGAUCCCUUCCUUAAAGCUCUCCCUCUUCAAUCUGGCUCCGGCUUCCACAUGUCACAGACACCAAAAGUCUCCCCAAGGACUCCAGUCUCCUGAUUUCCUCAUGAUCUCUUCAGACAUUGUCUUACUUGAUUUUGCUAACUUUGACCUUCUUAACCACUCUGGGCUUCUGGAAAGUCCCCUUAGCCUCCAUGACAUCUCUGUCUCCUCCGGUUUUCUCUUACCUCGGCAGCCUCCCUCUCUGCAGUUCCUUCCCACAUUCUUCUUCCUUCAUCUGCCUCACGAAUAUGGAUGACUCCAGAGCUCCAUCCUUGACCCCUUUCAUGUCUCUCUCCCGUCACUCUUCCUGGGCCUUCUUACCACGUCUAUGGCUUCAGAUAUGCCUGAUGCACUAAAAUGCCCAAAACCUCCACCUAGGAGCUAAAUCCCUAUCUUCAAGUACCUGCUGGGAACCUGGGUUUGUCAAAGGCAUCUACGGGUUUUUCAAAGGUUCUAUGUUGAAAGCUCACCAUCUCCCAGAAAAUGUGAUCCUCAUCCUAUCCCAGUCAGCCAAGCCAGAAACUUAGAAGUCACAGGUGAGAGCUUCCUCCCCCUCAUCCCCCACACCAGUCAGCUCUGCCUUCAUUCUAUCCAGAUCUCACCCAGCCUCCUCCUUGCAGCCAGAGUGACAUUUCUAGCAGAAAAAUUUGAUCGUGUCUGCCCUUGUUCAAACAUUUACUGGCUCCCCUCCAUUUCUAGGAUAAAGUCCAAACUCAGUAGGGCACCAUUUAAGACCCUGUAUAAUUUUAUCCCUUCUGCCUCUCAGUUUCCGAUCUGCUCCAGUGUUCUCUAUGUUCAGCAGCAGUAUUACUACUAAACCAUAAUCACCACUUAUUGAUCACUUACUGUGUGUGAGGCACUUGUAAGCAAGUUGUAUCUAUCACCUCCUUUAACCCUCACACCACACCAGCUUGUGUGUUACGUGCUCUUCUUCUCCCCAUUUGACAGAUUGUUAACCAAGUCCUAGAGAAGUUGAGCGGCUUGUCCAAAGCACACAACCCGCAUGGGGUGAACCAGGAUUCGAAUCUAGGCAGUCGGCUGCGCCAAACAGCCUCACACCAAACAACCACACUGCUCCCUGCGUGCCUUGUUUUUGAAUGAUUCUGUGGUUUUGCAUGUGCUGUUCCCUCUGUCUGGAGUUCCAGAUGCCAGAUUCUGAAAACUCGUCAUUCUAAAGCCACACCUGGAAAGCACCUCCUUUGAAAAUUCCCUGUGCUUUCGAUACGCUGUCUCUGAGGAACCUAUAGAUAUCAAGGCUGCUGGAAAUGGAAGUCUAGAUUCAUCCUCCAAUAUGAUGGCCACUAGCUACACGCAGCUUGUUGGCGUCAGAAACCCCAGAUGGAGCAGGUGUUGAAAUGGAAGAGGAACAAAGGGAGAACGUGCCCUGGACACGAGAGAGCAGCAGAGCUUCCCAGGAGGGUGUGGUCCCCAAGGCCACAUGCAGCCUCCAGGUCAAGUGCAUGAAGGCCUGAAAAGCAUCCCUCUGGAUGUGACAAUCCGGCAGUCCUUCGUAAUGUGCUCAGCACGGCAUCAUCAGGCCAUGGGAACAGAAACCGGGUCCCAGAAAUUGAGAGCAGGUGAGACACAGUAAGCAACAAAUCAACCAGCCACUCACCCAGAGACUUAUCAAAUGCCUACUACAAUCAAGCACCGUCAUAGAAAACAUUGUCAGGACCCCUGCUCUCAGGAAGAAAAACUCUCAAGAAGAAAAACAGUGAAGUAAUCACUAUAAAGCAUGAGGAGUGUUGCCACAGGC